rnacentral:rRNA from 1 species
AGGAAUUGGCGGGGGAGCACCACAACGCGUGGAGCCUGCGGUUUAAUUGGAUUCAACGCCGGACAUCUCACCAGAGGCGACAGCUGUAUGAUAGCCAGGUUGAUGACUUUGCUUGACUAGCUGAGAGGAGGUGCAUGGCCGCCGUCAGCUCGUACCGUGAGGCGUCCUGUUAAGUCAGGCAACGAGCGAGACCCACGCCCUUAGUUACCAGCAUAUCCUUUUUUGGAUGAUGGGCACACUAGGGGGACCGCCUAUGAUAAAUAGGAGGAAGGAGAGGUCAACGGUAGGUCAGUAUGCCCUGAAUCUCUUGGGCUACACGCGCGCUACAAAGGGCGGGACAAUGGGUCCCUACACCGAAAGGUGGAGGCAAUCUCGAAACCCGUCCGUAGUUCGGACUGAGGGUUGUAACUCACCCUCACGAAGCUGGAUUCCGUAGUAAUCGCGAAUCAACAACUCGCGGUGAAUAUGCCCCUGCUCCUUGCACACACCGC